GAUUUCUUAACUUAAUAGGUAAAGUGUGCUUUUGAUAAGAGUAUUAUCAGCGUUCGAUUCGCUGAGGAAUCA